CUUCCAGUAGCACCUUAGAGACCAACUAAGUUUGUUAUUGGUAUGAACUUUUGUGUGCAUGCAUACUAUGCACCAACUUAGUUGGUCUCUAAGGUGCUACUGGAAG